rnacentral:tRNA from 1 species
GCCUCUUUAGCUCAGUGGUAGAGCGUUGGUCUCGUACGAAUCCCAAGAUAACCAAAGGCCGGGAGUUCAAUCCUCCCAGGAGGCA